UACGUAGGGGGCGAGCGUUGUCCGAAUUUACUGGGCGUAAAGCGCGCGUAGGCGGGAAAUUAAGUGAGAAGUGAAAGGCUGGGGCUCAACCUCAUGCAGUGCUUCUCAUACUGGUUUUCUUGAGGGCGGUAGAGAAAAGUGGAAUGGCUGGUGUAGCGGUGAAAUGCGUAGAUAUCAGUCGGAACACCGGUGGCGAAGGCGGCUUUUUGGGCCGUUCCUGACGCUGAGGCGCGAAAGCCAGGGGAGCGAACGGG
rnacentral:rRNA from 1 species